rnacentral:lncRNA from 1 species
AACAGGAACUCAGGGGGCCCCAAAAAGCCUAACAACGGCAGCGGGAGCAAUGCAAAAGGGGCCCAGCCCAAUUAAAGUACAGGUUUUGGAGGAAUGGUUGAGGGUUUACCCUCGCCGUGAAGAUGCUAAGUAUUUAUUGGAGGGUUUCAAAUACGGUUUUAGAAUACCAGCAAAAGGGGACCGCCAGGCCUUCAUGGCCCGGAACCUCCGAUCAGUGUUAGGUAUGGAAGACAUAGUGCAGCUAAAAAUCAACAAGGAAGUUAAGGAGGGCAGGGUCCUCGGCCCCUUCCCUAAGCCGCCUAUGGCUAACCUCAGAGUCUCGCCACUAGGUAUAGUGCCCAAGAAGGCCCCAGGGGAAUUCCGGUUAAUCCAUCACCUGUCCUUUCGGGAGGGGGCAUCAGUGAACGAUGCUAUUCCACAGGAAUUAUGCACGGUCAGGUACACCUCCUUCGAUGAUGCAGUGAGAAUGAUCAGGAAAUGUGGUAUAGGGGCUGAACUGGCAAAAUGUGACAUUAAAUCAGCCUUCAGGCUGCUGCCAGUUCACCCUCAGGAUUUUAACUUGUUAGGCUUCCAGUUUGGUGGCAAAUUUUUUGUGGACAGGGCCCUACCCAUGGGAUGCUCAGUGUCAUGUGCCGCUUUUGAGAAGUUCAGCACUUUUAUUGAGUGGAGACUUAGACGCAUGGUAAGAAGCAAUUCAACAGCUCAUUACCUCGAUGACUUCCUUUUCUGCGGAAAGGGAGGCACAGGCAGAUGCGGUGUCAUACUCCGUUCAUUCCAAGCAUUGGCAAGAGAAUUAGGGUUGCCCCUAGCGGAAGACAAGACAGAGGGCCCGGCAACAUCCCUAACCUUCCUGGGCAUAGAGCUCGACACGGUGCAGCAAACAUCGAGGUUACCUCGGGACAAGUUGAUUGACCUGAGGGCACGAAUUGAAGCUCUAUUGCACAAAAGGAAGGCAUCCCUUAGAGACCUCCAGGAAAUAGUUGGCCAUUUGAACUUUGCUUGCAAGGUCGUGGCUCCGGGCCGAGCAUUCCUCAGGCGGCUAUGCACA